CUUGUGAAUGCAAUCUGAACGUGCAUGCCAGCAAAAACAGAUGAUUACCAAACUAAACCUUCAAAGACUCAACAACCAUUCUCUUAUGCAUGUUCUUACCCUCUACUCAAGGACGAGGUUCCACGCUCCCCUGCUCAGCACAUAACGGAUGAGGAACUUGAUGAUAUCCAGCAGAAAGUAGGAAAUGAUAUUGUACAACCAGAUGUGUCGGCCCAGCCUCAUCUAAUGCCCUUGAUCGCAGCAAAUGCCCAGUUGGUGUAUACAGUAAUCAGAGUAGCAAUCUGCAAGCAUGACAAGCAUGAGCAGCAAGAUGAGACACAGAAAGGCGACAACAUCGCGGUAAGGC
rnacentral:misc_RNA from 1 species